UACAGAGGGGGCCAGCGUUAUUCGGAAUUAUUGGGCGUAAAGAGCGUGUAGGCGGCUAGGUAGGUCCGUUGUGAAAACUCGAGGCUCAACCUCGAGACGCCGAUGGAAACCAUCUGGCUAGAGUCCGGAAGAGGAGAGUGGAAUUCCUGGUGUAGCGGUGAAAUGCGCAGAUAUCAGGAAGAACACCCGUGGCUAAGGCGGCUCUCUAGUACGGUACUGACGCUGAGACGCGAAAGCGUGGGGAGCGAACAGG
rnacentral:rRNA from 1 species